UAGAGAGGGGUAAAAAAAGAGUCCGCCUCCAGCCUGGGCUGUGGGCUCGUUGGAAGUGCUGCUUGCGCCGAGGUUGUUCAGGUUCGGAUGCCGGACUGGGAGUGCGAAUGGAACAGAUACGGCUGCAGAGGUAUAGGUUUCCUCUACAAUCAUCAUUAUUUGUAAUCACUCACAAGAUCUUUGAUGUGCAUCACCAUGAUGAAAAGAGUGCCAUUUCGUGGUUCAAGCUGCAACAAAAGUUUCUGCUCUAAUUCCAGGACCAUCACAUGUUGGAGAAAAAAAGCUUGAACCCUCACCAGGAAGCAAAUAGGCUGGCACCUUGAUCUUGGACUUCCCAGCCUCCAGAACAAUGAGAAGACUAAUUUCCUUUGUUUAAGCCACCUUGUUUAUGGUGUAUUGUUAUGGCAGGUCAAGCCGACUAAUACUUACAUGCCUGCUUUAUAGUUUUGCCCAGGGGAGCCAACAAAUCUCAAAAAACAAAACAAAACCCAUCAAUACCUAAAUUAUCAGGAUUAGUUUGGAAGGCUAUAUAAAAGUCAGCUUCCUUCAAUUCAAUUCAGCCCAGACUCUUGAGACUAGGGAAGUCCAGUCCAGUGUUUUCUACCUCUUCUCCACUGAGAGGAAGAAGGCAAGAGAAAAAGGAAAAAACAGAAUAUGAGCUCAUAUGCUCCUCCCUGCUGUGGCAUUUAACGAGGUGGUACCACUAGUCUGUGACCAACCUGGUCACCAGACCUUUAGAACAUAUUUGCCAGGAAGAUCUGCUUCUAAAGUAAUAAUCACAAGUUCAAAUGCCACUCAUUGGUACAUGUGUUUCUAGUACUACAUCAUAUAACAACAAUUUACUACAGCAGUGUCCCACAGUUCACUGUUGUAAGCACUUAUGGUAUCCAUGAAAAUUUUUAUGGCAGAUUCCUGAAAAAUACAUUAGUAGAGAUAUCAUUUUAGAAAAAAACCUUGUAUGUGAUACUGUAGAAAAUAUGUUUUGCAGAAAUGAUUCAUAAAUGGGAUGUUUAGAAUUGAAAUCAUAUACUAAAUAAAACUUGAGAUCAUAUUUUGAGAGAAGUAAAUUUUUUUUUUUUUGGCCACGCCACACGGCUUGCUGGAUCUUAGUUCCCCAACCAGGGAUUGAACCCAGGCCACCGCAGUGAAAGCGCUGAGUCCUAACCACUGGACUUCCAGGGAAUUCCUGAAAUAAAUGUAUUGUUUAAAGUGCUAUUGCCGAUGCUUCACAUUUAUUCAGUAAAUAAACUUUUGAUAAACCUAUUUGCUAGUACUAUGAAUCACAAUUUUUUCCUAUAAUCAGAAUUUUGAUAUAUAGCAUUUGUUUAAACUAAGGAAAACAAAUUAAGGUUAAACAGUGUGUGCCUUCUCUAAUAUAC